GUGGAUUAGAUACCCUGGUAGUCCAUGCCGUAAACGUUGGGCACUAGGUGUGGGGCUCAUUCCACGAGUUCCGCGCCGCAGCUAACGCAUUAAGUGCCCCGCCUGGGGAGUACGGCCGCAAGGCUAAAACUCAAAGGAAUUGACGGGGGCCCGCACAAGCGGCGGAGCAUGCGGAUUAAUUCGAUGCAACGCGAAGAACCUUACCAAGGCUUGACAUACACCGGAAUCGGCCAGAGAUGGUCGCGUCUUCGGACUGGUGUACAGGUGGUGCAUGGUCGUCGCCAACU
rnacentral:rRNA from 1 species